ACAUGCAAGUCGAACGAAGUAGCAAUACUUAGUGGCAAACGGGUGAGUAAUAUGUGGGAAUCUACCCUUCGGUCUGGAAUAACAUGAGGAAACUUGUGCUAAUACCGGAUAAGCCUUUACAGGGAAAGCUUUAUGCUCCGAUUGAUGAGUCCACACUUGAUUAGUUAGUUGGUGAGGUAAUAGCUCACCAAGACAAUGAUCAAUAGCUGAUUUGAGAGGAUGAUCAGCCACAUUGGGACUGAGACACGGCCCAAACUCCUACGGGAGGCAGCAGUGGGGAAUAUUGCACAAUGGGGGAAACCCUGAUGCAGCGAUGCCGCGUGAGUGAAGAAGGCCCUUGGGUUGUAAAGCUCUUUCGUCGAGGAAGAAAAUGACUGUACUCGAAUAAGAAGGUCCGGCUAACUUCGUGCCAGCAGCCGCGGUAAUACGAAGGGACCUAGCGUAGUUCGGAAUUACUGGGCUUAAAGAGCACGUAGGUGGUUAAAAAAGUUGGUGGUGAAAUCCCAGAGCUUAACUCUGGAACUGCCAUUAAAACUUUUUAGCUAGAGUGUGAUAGAGGAAAGUAGAAUUUCUAGUGUAGAGGUGAAAUUCGUAGAUAUUAGAAAGAAUACCAAUUGCGAAGGCAACUUUCUGGAUCAUUACUGACACUGAGGUGCGAAAGCAUGGGUAGCGAAGAGGAUUAGAUACCCUCGUAGUCCAUGCCGUAAACGAUGUGUGCUAGACGUUGGAAAUUUAUUUUCAGUGUCGCAGCAAAAGCGUUAAGCACACCGCCUGGGGAGUACGAC
rnacentral:rRNA from 1 species